AGUGAACGCUGGCGGUAGGCCUAACACAUGCAAGUCGAACGGCAGCACAGUAAGAGCUUGCUCUUACGGGUGGCGAGUGGCGGACGGGUGAGGAAUACAUCGGAAUCUACUUUUUCGUGGGGGAUAACGUAGGGAAACUUACGCUAAUACCGCAUACGACCUACGGGUGAAAGCAGGGGAUCUUCGGACCUUGCGCGAUUGAAUGAGCCGAUGUCGGAUUAGCUAGUUGGCGGGGUAAAGGCCCACCAAGGCGACGAUCCGUAGCUGGUCUGAGAGGAUGAUCAGCCACACUGGAACUGAGACACGGCCCAGACUCCUACGGGAGGCAGCAGUGGGGAAUAUUGGAAAAUGGGCGCAAGCCUGAUCCAGCCAUACCGCGUGGGUGAAGAAGGCCUUCGGGUUGUAAAGCCCUUUUGUUGGGAAAGAAAAGCAGCAGGUUAAUACCCCGCUGUUCUGACGGUACCCAAAGAAUAAGCACCGGCUAACUUCGU
rnacentral:rRNA from 1 species